UGGAAUGUUUUUCAUUCUGUUAUUGCAGUGA
rnacentral:piRNA from 1 species